AUUUAACCGAUUUUCGCCCAUAGUAGAUCUUAAAUAGGGUUUAGUUCUUGUAAGACACAAAAACGAUCUCUCCGCAGAACAAUCAGUAUCCGCUAUACAGGAGUAUAUUUUCAAUUAAUUCUUGAAUGGAUCCAACACAGCAAAACAAAUGGUUUUUAAUUUGUCUUUAGCAUUAAAAUCUACUUCAUUAGCUCUAAAAUUAUCUUUGUCUAGUUAGUCACAUAAAAGACGUUGCACAAAACGACGUUUUUGGUCCAAUUCAUAUUCUU